GAUGAACGCUAGCGGCAGGCCUAACACAUGCAAGUCGAGGGGCAGCACAUAAAGUGGUUUACUACUUUUGGUGGCGACCGGCGGACGGGUGCGUAACGCGUAUGCAACCUGCCUCCAACAGGGGGAUAACGGAGAGAAAUUUCCACUAAUACCCCAUAAUAUCAGAAUCGGCAUCGGUUUUGGUUGAAAACUCCGGUGGUUGGAGAUGGGCAUGCGUUGUAUUAGAUAAUUGGUGAGGUAACGGCUCACCAAGUCAACGAUACAUAGGGGGACUGAGAGGUUAGUCCCCCACACUGGUACUGAGACACGGACCAGACUCCUACGGGAGGCAGCAGUGAGGAAUAUUGGUCAAUGGGGGCAACCCCGAACCAGCCAUGCCGCGUGCAGGAAGACGGCUCUAUGAGUUGUAAACUGCUUUUACAAGGGGAUAAAUCGGUGUACGUGUACACCGUUGAAGGUACCUUGGGAAUAAGGAUCGGCUAACUCCGUGCCAGCCGCCGCGGUAA
rnacentral:rRNA from 1 species